CGUGUAUUUGCGGACCAGAAAACAUGGAAUCAUAUCAAACAACUGUAAACAACUUAAAUUUUCAAAUCUAAGCCUUUGGUCAUAUAAUAGAGGCAGUAGGUGUAGAAAUCAAUCACCCCACCGCAAACUUAAAGAAGGGUCAUAUAAGCCUUUCAUCUAUUUAGUUGUGAGAACAGCAACCAAAAUUUACUCUUUCCUAUAUAAAGAGGAGCAAAACACUCGAUCGACUGGAGGAUCAACCUGCCAGUUGACAACAUACAGCAUUUCAUAAUACAGUCUUCAUAUCAAAUGUAGGUUGCAGCUUCGUCCACCUGUAAACAAUAUAGACAGCAAAAGGAAAACCAAUAAACGAAACAAUCUUUGCACUGAUUAACAAGCAGAAGCUUCCCAUCCACGUUACCACGCAACUUUUUUAUCACAUACAUGCUUUUGCGUAAGUUAAACAUAGCUCUCAACAAAAAUUUCCACAAUACAAUAUAAACUACUGCUCACAUUAUUAUCAAUCAAGGCUGCACCAGAUUUCAGGGCUUAAUUUUUUUAUCCAUGGCAUUCACUCAAGUUCAACUUGCAACAUAAACAUCAUACCCACAUUAUAUUCAAAUAAAGUCACCUAAUUACUAUGAGAAACUGCCAAUUAUGACCUUAAUAAACACAUUUAGGUUGAUUAAUUUUUUGUUCACUGCACAAAAACACAUUAUUAACGACCACAGAUGAAAUUAUGCUACUUUCAGAAAACUAUUUUCUUUCAACAUCAACCAAUGAUUGCAAAUUUACUAGAGAAGGAGACAUGUAAAAAAAUUACCAUUACCUGCUGCCCUCAAGACCCCGGUUUUCGGGAGUUUAUCCUUCAUCAGGCUGCCCAAAGAGAUCAGUCAUGAGUCAGUCCCAUCCUUCAGUCCAAGGCCACAUAAUUGCAUAUGGAUCAUUUAUGCUUCUCUGCUGGCCGUUGCUAGCCAGAUAAAAAUUUGUCAUUCCAGCAGUGUUCCCAUCUCAAUGUCCUGUUAUACAAGUCUCCUGAACUUGGCAUCCGAAACCUAGAAUCUUCAUACCCAGCAGUGUAGAACUUGUUCAAUCCCAGUCUCUCAUUUCGGAGGAGUUCUGCCACACUAAGAUUGUUUCCACCUGGAACCUCAUUGAAGCCAUCCCAGUGCCCAUUCGACACAAGUCCAUUCCUAGAAUGCUGAAGGGACAUUUGCAUGAAAGGAGAUAGAUUGCUUAUUUGUGAUUGAUCCACAAGCCUUGAAGAAAUGCCAUAGGAAUCUGUGAGAGAAGAAAAGCUAUCCCCAGUUUCAGCAUAUCUCAGGUUCUGGUGUGGUGAGAGAGAUCGUUGCAUCAAUAACUGAAGCCUUGCCUCAUUAUCAUAGGCACUUAGCUGUUGUGGGAAAUUCGGUCUCAUGUCUAAGCCUGGAUUGUUAAGCCCACCUUGAAGUCUCCCUUUACCAACUGCCAAAAUAGCAGGAUCCAUGAAUUCAACAUCCCCACUACUACUAAUACUUCCAGUUGAGGGUGGCUGAUAUGAAUUUCUCAGCAUGGAAGAAGAGUUGAGCAAAUGAUUACCUACAUAGAAGAAAAAAGAAAAGAUUACAAUGUAGAAACAAAAUCUUGCUCGAUAAUCUGGAUGAUAAAUAUGAAAACUAACCAGAUAUAGUAUCAAAAAUCUGAUCCAUCCUCUCAUGGGAAGAAAAGCCUGGGGGUGGAGCUCUGUUAGGAACAGAGAAUCCAGGAGGGGCAGAAAUUUGGGCUCUCGAAACUGCUAAAUAACAAAAUUUAUGUUCAGUAUAAUAUCCGAUAUAAAAAACCAACUUGUUCAAUCUAAGAGGUGAAUCAGUUUAUGUUUUGACACAAAUACUAAUCAAGCUUCCCACCCUUUGCAAACGACGAAAUUAAAAAAAUAAUAAUAACUGAGGUACAGCAGGGUAAGAUGUGAAGUACUCAAGGAACAAGACAUGAUUACAAUUGAUUUUAAAAAACAAAUCUAAAGAUUGCCUGAUUGCAAAUGAUGCCAAUAUGACAGGAUAUAAAUUUUAAUUAAAAAAAAAUGUCUAUUUACAAAACUAAUACCUGUCAAAUCAUUAUGGCCUCCAAUCAAAUGUCCUAUACAAAUCAUACUUUAACCAUAAAUGUGACGCAUAAAUUCUGCCAACUGCACCAUAAGUUGGCCUCAAUUCUUGCAAAGCCCAGAUUUUCACAUUACCAACAACAAAACAAAGAAUUCUUUUUUGCAACAAAAUGGGCACUUCCAAGAAAGAACGCUGGAAACCAAUACUACUAAUUUCUUGAAGUUCAAUAUCCUCAUUUUACACUCCUUAAAAGGGGGUUGAACAAAAUGGCAAACAAACUCAUGAUCCAACCUACGCCCUAAAAUUUGCUUCCCAAGAGUGCACAACAUUAAGCAAGCAUAGAAGUCAAAGACAAAAGCAUAACACAACAAUAUUUCAACAGAUAUACUAACGUAUGAGAAAUGAAUGCCUAUUCCCGCUUUAACUCUGUAACUUAAAUACAAAGAAAAUAAAUACUCACCAGAUGGCUUGUUAGAAGAAAAAACUGAAAGACCAUUGGUAAAAUUUUCAGAUUCCUCGAAAUUACCAGUAGAGAAACCAUUACCCAUCCCAACCUUAUCCAAAUAUGAAUUUCUUUUUUCUGAAAAACCCUGACUAAACGAGAGAUCCUUUGCCCACUUCCCAAAAACACUAAAACAUGGAUCAACAUCAACUGCUUGAUUUCUUGAUUCCUCCUGUCUUGCAAAAGAGAACCUAGACUGACUGUUAUUUUGAACUUUCCAGGAAUUGAGAGAACUAGACUGUCUCUCAGUUUCAACCAACAAUUUAGCCAAAUUCUGAGAUGAUGUUAGCGGCUCUUCCCAUCCAUCAAGAUCUAGUGAUAAUAUAUUUGAAAUUAUGCUGUUCUCACCCACGUCCGAGGCUGUAGCAUCACCCUGAAAUCUUCCCUUGUGCGCCCCUUCCCCCUCAUUUGGAAGAGAGAAGGAAUGCUCCAUGUUUCUAUCCAAACCAGUAGAACUGUGGAGCAAUUUCUCAGGAUAUCCAUUUGAUAUUACAGUAUUACUAGAUGCGCGCACGAGUGUGGUGUCACCAACUCUAUUAUCCAUGAAUAGAGGAUCAGCAUUUAGAUUGACAGCACCAAAAGGCUCAUUACGUUGCAAAGAAUGAGACCUAGAAAGAUUUGUAAUAUGGAGUGAAUUAGCUGAAUUUGGCAGGUACAUAGAAUGACUCACAACUUCCGGAUCCUUGAGUCUCUGGUUUUCAAAUGAUAUUAUAUCUUCCUCUACUUCGGAAAUGGAAUUCAUAACUGAUUGAAUUUGAGAAUCUAUUCUCCAGUCAGGCUGUUCUUCCCCUGGAACAUAAAUUUUCUCAGUUCCUGGUGAAGCCAAAGGUUCUCUACAUUGGUCAGUGUAUGAUUGCUGUAACCCUUGACUCUUAGGUGAUAAAGUCGAUCUUAUCACAUUAUCAUCUCUAAGUGAGCUACAAUUUCUUGUUACGCCAGAAACUUCACUUCUAAAAUUAAUAUCAAUCUUUACUGAAUCCAUAUCAGUUGCAGCAAUUCCCACCUUUUCAGGCCCAGAAGAUGGCACAGCAUGAACAAAGGAGUUUGCACCAUUUGCCAUCAAAGCAGAGCCCCAGUCAUUGUGAUCAGUUGGAGAACUAGAUGACUGAUUACUUAAUGUUACAGCAUGAUUAGCAUGAACUGUGGCUGGUUUGUCUGGCGCACUGGAUGGAGAAUCUUCAACAUUCUGUUUAACGGAUGUCAAAGGAUCUUGUUUGCCUUUACCAUUCGUAGUUUGACUGUCCUCAUUCCAAGUUGCCCUUUUUCCCACAUCACUAUGCAAUGUAGUAGCCUGAUUUGUAUUUGCAACUGCUGCUGCGAAGCCUAAUGUGCCAUUAACUGUGUCCGGUUUUGGUUUAGUAGGUCCAUUUGAAGAUGUAGAAGUAGUAGCUUGUGGCUGACUAGAGGCACGCAUCCCCCAUGAGGCUGCUGCUGGAAGUGCAAUAGAUCUACCAGAGCUUAUAUUUGGAGGAGAGCCCUUGCCCGUAAUAAUUGAAUUAUUUGAAGUAUUUUUGACAAUAGGUUUUGCUACAGAAGCAGAACUAUUGCUGCUAUAAUCAUCUACAGGUGGAGGCAACAUACUCCCUGAACGCCACAGCAUAUUGUUUGUUGCACCGGUGAUUUGUUGAACUCUGGUGUAUGCCGAUAUUAUCUCAUCUUUAGUAAAACUGUCUUCCUGGGAACCUAUUUCAUGCAAGUAUAGACAAUCUGGAUUGGUGCAAGGCACAUUUCUCAGCCAUGCAUGACAAUAUUUUGUGGUCCCAAAGCAAGCCUUUAAAGAUCUACCAUCCAAGAGAAAUCCAUGUACAGACUGAAUACAACGAAUUGCUUCGUCCUCCUUUGAGUAAGUUACAUAUACACUACAAGUAUUGUUUGGAAACUGUUGAAUGGCACCAGCUGCUGUUCGAGACAUGGACACUUUUAGAACCUUCCCAUACUGGCCAAAAUAUUCUUUGCGCUGGAGAAGAUCUUCAUCUGCUAGAUUAAGAGGCAACCCAACUAUGUACACAAGGUUCCGUUGGAUCACCCGCACACUGCUGAGUUGCUUUCUUCCUUCAGAUGGCUUUGACUUUGCCUUUUGUGACUUCUUACGCUCAACAUUAAUUUCAGCCACCAAUCUUCCACAGCUAGCAGCCAUCCCUACUAUUUUCUCUUUGUCGUAAGGGACCCGACAUGCUGGGCACCUCCCUUCUGUAUCAUCCUUCUCUGCCAUGUCCAUUAUGUGAUGCCAACACCAAACACAUAUCUCGUAACCACAUUUGCAAGGCUUCAAUUGCUGAUCAGUCAAGUCCAUCUCCUCUGUGCAAAGUGGACAGGUCUUUUCUCCUUCGUCGCUCAUGGUUGCCAGUUUCCAGAUCGAGAAGAAGAAGAGAGAGAGAAUCUGUGACGAUAAGGUUCGGAGAAAUUGAAUAACGGGAGAUAGAGAAGAGAAGAAAACCACAAGGGAAGCUUUUAAAGGUGUAGAGAGAGAGAAGGCUCUGUUGUUUGUUUGGAUGGCUUUUUUG
rnacentral:misc_RNA from 1 species